GCUCGUAGUUGAAUUUCGGAAUCUGUCCGUCGGUCGGGCUUCACUGUCCGCACUGGUGUGAUGGGUUUCUACCUUCUGAAUAACCGGCAUGUCAUUAAUUUGGUGCGCCGGGGAAGCAGAACUAUUACCUUGAAAAAAUUAGAGUGUGUAAAGCA
rnacentral:rRNA from 1 species